UCGAUGAACCCGAUGUUGGAAGAAACAAUGCCCAGUAGUUGGUGGCGUUUGUUUCAACAGAGCCUGUUUUUUUCUCUCUAUAUAUUUUCAACAUAUCUCAAUCUCAUCACAUCAACCAUUUGCAGUUUUCACAGUUUUUUCUCCGACGAGAUCACUGCUUAACUGCAUCUGAAUCAUUUUCUGCUUUCUUUUACGACAUAAAAAUUCACAUGAUUCUGAUGUCUCUGAAGCUGUGUUCAUUGUGGUCAUUGGUGAAGCUGGGAACAGCACUGCUGCGUCAACCUACACCAACUUUGACAACGAUUUUGCACUCCGCCAAUUUGCUUCCCCGCAACCUUAACUUGGAUCGAUUUGUGCGACGUGAGUUUCUUCAUCGAGAAAACCAUUUCUUCCAUUUUCUCACCACUGUGCUGAGGUUUGUCUGGUAGAUACCAUACCAGCAAUGAAUGUGUCGGGUUCAGGUGUUUCAAUUUGAAGGAACCAUUUUUAUACUUUUGGAGACACUCCAUGUGGUGGCUAGAACAUGUCUCAAAUGCAGAACUUUUUUAGGUAGCAUUUUCUUUCACAGAUUCAUCUGUUAUCUCUUACACCAAGUUGAUUCAUCUUGGAAAAAGUAGCAAUAGAUUUGGAUGUUGAGUUAAAGAUUCAAGUAUGUUGUAGGUGUAAUACUUUUUUAUAUGAAAAAUAAUACUUUUUCACGUAAUUUUUUUUAUAUUAA